rnacentral:lncRNA from 1 species
UUUGCCAACAUCACUCAGUCCCAACUUUGAAAAAGAAAAUCCUUUUUCAUUAACAUCCAACUGGCUUUAAGGAGGUCAAACUCAAGAUUUCCUUUUACCAACUGAGAAUCUUCCAGUUUAGCCUUUGACUAGAAGGCUCUCUGGGAAACCUUUCCCUCUGAGAAAUCUAGUGAGUAAAUUCCUGCCAUGGUGUCAUGUUCAUGGAUUUCACACUGUCCUUCUGCGCCCUGUCCAGCAGCCCUCCGAGGAGAGAGCCAGACUUCUGGACCACGAGUGUCUUUCCCUCCUCUGGCUGCUUAGUCAUCUCCCAAGUCAUUUGGCAGUUGUCUGUGGCCCCUUCAAAAUGUUUCCAUUUAUGGUUAGAAUUUGGUCUUCCCAGUUUGGUCACACAGAUGGGAAAACUUAAAUGAAAGACAGCAUCACAGAGCUUCUCUCAAGAGCAGGCAGAGGAAGAGGCUGGAGCUGGUAGCAGAAGGGGCUCCACGGUGACUGUGACCAAACAGACCACAGCACUGCUGAGGGGGUGGCCAGGGGAAGGGCCCACCGCCCACCAGGAGGUCUGCCUGCGGCUCUGCUCCUCCCUGGCACACAUCAUGGACUCCCAUUAUACAUGGAACACGUGCCUGGUGGGGAUCGAUGCCACCAUGGGGCCUGGGAUUAUUUGCAUCUUUGCUGGAAAGAGCCUUCACACCAACAUGAAACUUCAAGGACGCUAGAACGUCAGCGCCUGCCUGAGCGCCCCCAUCCUUCAGUGUGUCUGUGGACAGGUUUGUGUGUUCAUUUAUCUCUCAUUUUUGUUCUUUUUCUCACAUUAGGCCAUCUCAAAAAAAUUGGAAUGUUGUUGUUAUUCACAGUAUUUACUUGGCAGAGUUGCAUGUACCACCCUCUAAAUUUUGAACAAUUAACAGCCUGCUCUGUGUUUCUAAUUAAAGAGAGGGCUGGAUGGUGCUCAAUUGAAAAUCAAGUUCCCCAGGCCCCACUUAAGCCCACAGAGCACACUGUGAAAUGCACCAGGGCACAAACAGGCUCACAGAGAGCCGAGUCAGCUCAUCCUGCAACUCUCUGAAGGUUAGAGGUCACAUGGGUAAAAGAAUUCGUUAAAAGUUGGUCACAUUUGGGGCAAGCCCAGUGGCACACCAGUUGUUUGCAUGCUCUGCUUCAGCAGCCCAGGGCUCGCUGGUUCAAAUCCCGGGUGUGCACCUACACUCCGCUUAUCAAGCCAUGCUAUGGCGGUGUCCUACAUAUAAAGCAGAGGAAGACAGGCACAGAUGUUAGCUCAGAGCCAAUCUUCCUCGGCAAAAAAGAAAAGAGGAAGAUUUGUGGCAGAUGUUAGCUCAGGACUAAUCUUCCUCAAAAAAAAAAAAAAAAGCACAUUUAAGGACUCAUUUUUGGAUCCUGCGGGAGAGGAAACACCUCACUUCCCUGAGGCAGGAGCCGCACUGCUUUGGAGUAAGAGCACGUUGGUCUAGCCCUGGACUCACGGCCCACUGUCCUCCUACCGUUGGGCAAGUCAUCCCCCCCACCCCUGACUCCUUUUCCUGUUUGUCAUAGGGCUUGCGGUUCUAUGAAGAUAUGGCAGAAAGUAUUUUGGAGGAGAAAAGCAAUCCAGGUAAAGCCACAGUCCUGAGGGACCUGCCUUUUCCCAACCAAUUCGUUUUUUCCACCCUCAAAGUGUCAUUGUAAAGUUCCAACUUGCUUCAUUUAGCGUUGGUUUUUCAGUGAGGAGGUGACCACGGUAAAAGUGAGGCAUCACUAGAAUCCACCCAGCCAAAGCUUACAGCGGAAAAUGGGUCACAGGGUGACCACAGUGAGUCAUUCUGGAUGGGGUACAACCCACACACCCCCACCACCAGCUGCCUGGCUCCUCUGGGAAUUUCCAGUGGAAAAUCUCCACUUCUGAUCCAAGAAGGAGGGGAUGGCCUGUCCCAGUGGGAACACUAAGGAAAUCGAUGCAACUCAAUUCACUGUAAAAUGUGUGUCUAUUGAGCUUUUGUGAAUGCACAUUUGCCAAACCCUGUGCUUUCUCUCACAGCGCUGCAGAGGCCACAGAAACGGAUGGUAUCAGG